rnacentral:rRNA from 1 species
CACGAACCGGAUUAGAUACCCGGGUAGUCCUAGGUGUAAACGCUGUGGACUUGAUGUUGGGGACGCUCCGAGCGUUCUCAGUGUCGAAGCGAAGGUGAUAAGUCCACUGCCUGGGGAGUACGGUCGCAAGGCUGAAACUUAAAGGAAUUGGCGGGGGAGCACCGCAACCUGAGGAUUGUGCGGUUUAAUUGGAUUCAACGCCGGAAAACUCACCAUGGCCGACGGACAUAUGAAAGCCAGUGUAACGAGCUUGCUGGAUUGUUCGAGAGGUAUUGCAUGGCCGCCGUCAGUUCGUACCGCAAGGCGUUCUGUUAAGUCAGAUAACGAACGAGACCCUCAUCCCUAUUUGCCAAGGUCUGUCCGCAGACCACGGGACUAUAGGGAGACCGCUGGCGCGAAGUCAGAGGAAGGCGAGGGCAACGGUAGGUCAGUAUGAUCCGAAUGCCAUGGGCUACACGCGCAAUACAAAGGACGGGACAAUGGGCUGCUACUCCGAGAGGAAGAAGCUAUCCCGAAACCCGUUCGUAGUUCGGAUUGGGGGCUGUAACCCGCCCCCAUGAAGCUGGAUUAGGUAGUAAUCGCGUCUCAACAAGGCGCGGUGAAUAUGCCCCUGCUCCUUGCACACACCGCCCGUCAAACCAUC